GAUCGUCGCACAAUGUCUAAUCAGUCGUUGCUUGUCAUUGCGUCGUUCUUUUCUCACUUCCGCCUCCUCUGGUAACUUCUUCUUCGACAACAACAACAACAAUAAUCUUUCGGUGAAGCUGACAGAACAUGGAAAAAGUAUGGUCCAAUUUAUAUUGAAGAUAAACUUCUUACGAUAAUUCAAAUGCGGCCUUUCUCAUCCUUAUCGGCAACACAGUCGCACAGAUUAGAGACCAUUGGAGCAAAGCAAAAGUUAUUGAUAUUUGAUAAGCACAACAAUGACCCUUAAGUUAGUAAGUAGAACCAUUUUCUUUCAUUUUAUUUUUUCAACUCUUGUUUUCUCUAUUUUAUUGUAUAAGUUGAUCACAACAUCUUUGCUCAUGUCAGGGUUAAUGCACUGUCUAACUAACCUUGUUGCAAAAUGACAACAAAAUUCUUGUAACUAAUUUUUUACCUUAUUUUCACCAUUUUAUUUUGAUAUGCAUGACUUCUUCUAGCUGAAGAGGUUUAAAGGUGAAAUUGACAUCCCCGAUUAUUCUAAAUACUGAAGAUCUUGACCGGGUGAUCCUUCAAAACGGUAUCGUUUCCAUCACUUUGGCGAAGCCUGGGGGCUAUAUUCUUCGAAUAUCAUACAAUGAAAUUAAUAACAUUAUUUUGUUAUCCUUUAUGAACUUAUCAAAUAUAAACUGUGACAAGACAUUAUUGCAGACCUUAUUAAGGCUGGUGGUUUUCACAAACUUUAGGAUGGAAGUUUCAAAACUCAACCAACUAGAGAGUGUGUAACAAAAAUCUUAACAGGAUUUAAGGAGAAGAUCUAGGGGCAAGUAUUGAAACACUUGUUAUAUCUUAUGCGCUUUGCCAAAAAGGGUGUUCAAUAGUGUGUUGCUCUUGCUCUUGCUCAUUUAUGUCCUAUUGAUAAUUGUAGAACUAUCUUCAUUGACAACAAUGGAUUAGAAUUGUUGUUGGAGCUUCUUGGAUCUACAAAGUACAAACCUUAAACUAAUUGAUCUAUAGGAAAAAGAUUCUAUGCUCAUCGAGUUUGUUUAGUCAAGUUAGAUGUAUUUCGAGCAAGGUUUUAUGGUGGUUGCAGGGUGGACUCCCAUAUUCAAAUAUAAACUUAAUGUUGAUAGCUAUUCCAAUCUAGUGUCAAUAUUCUUCAUAACGUCUUAAGAUUUGCAAUGCAGGAAAUGGAAGCCAAAGAUAUAGUGGUUCCAGACAUCAAAUGGGAUGUAUUUAAAUUGAUGAAGAGGUGAAAUUUCUACAAAACAUAUAUGAUGCAAUUUUAUUCUACAAUGAUGUGCUACUAUGUUUAGCAUAUGCUAACAUUCUCAAACACUAAAUUGAUCUUUUUAUUAAUGCUUCUGAGUAGUUUUUAAUUUAAAAUAGACAAAAAAAAAAUGGAAAAUAGAUGAUGACAUUGUAUAGAUGUGUUGAA